UCCGCAGUAGCUCAAUGGUAGAGCACCCGGCUGUUAACCGGGUUGUUGCAGGUUCGAGUCCUGCCUGCGGAGCCA
rnacentral:tRNA from 1 species